GGGUUAAGUCCCGCAACGAGCGCAACCCUUGUCUCCAGUUGCCAGCACUUCGGGUGGGGACUCUGGAGAGACUGCCAGCGUAAGCUGAGAGGAAGGUGGGGACGACGUCAAGUCAUCAUGGCCUUUAUGCCCAGGGCUACACACGUGCUACAAUGGCAAGUACAGAGGGUAGCGAAGCCGCGAGGUGGAGCCAAUCCCACAAAGCUUGUCCCAGUUCGGAUUGGAGUCUGCAACUCGACUCCAUGAAGGUGGAAUCGCUAGUAAUCGCGCAUCAGCCAUGGCGCGGUGAAUACGUUCCCGGACCUUGUACACACCGCCCGUCAAGCCAUGGGAGCUGGGGGUACCUGAAAACGGUGACUUUACGGGGAGCUGUUUAGGGUAAAACUAGUGACUGGGGCUAAGUCGUAACAGGGUAGCCGUACCGGAAGGUGCGGCUGGAAUACCUCCUUU
rnacentral:rRNA from 1 species